CCUACGGGAGGCAGCAGUGAGGAAUAUUGGGCAAUGGGCGCGAGCCGGAACCAGCCAAGGAGCGUGAAGGAGGACGGCCCUACGGGAGGUAAACUUCUUUUAUAAAGGAAUAAAGUGAGGCACGUGUGCCUUUUUGUAUGUACUUUAUGAAUAAGGAUCGGCUAACUCCGUGCCAGCAGCCGCGGUAAUACGGAGGAUCCGAGCGUUAUCCGGAUUUAUUGGGUUUAAAGGGAGCGUAGAUGGGUUGUUAAGUCAGUUGUGAAAGUUUGCGGCUCAACCGUAAAAUUGCAAUUGAUACUGGCAGCCUUGAGUUCAGUUGAGUUAGGCGGAAUUCGUGGUGUAGCGGUGAAAUGCUUAGAUAUCCCGCAGAACUCCGAUUGCGAAGGCAGCCUACUAGACUGCCACUGACAUUGAUGCUCGAAAGUGUGGGUAUCAAACCGGAUUAGAUACCCGGGUAGUC
rnacentral:rRNA from 1 species